UGUUACAAAUCGAAUGCUAGUGUCUAAAUACUCAUUAAUCCCAGUGUUUUGAGCAUAAGGAUCGAAAGAAGAAGGAGCUAGUUCCGGAUCACAAACAAAGGCACAAGAUCGAGGUAAAGCACCCGUAUGAUUGUCAUUGCGUCGCUCGGAUACGAACACACCUUGAUCACCCGUGAUGCGCUUCCGCAACUUUUGUAGUAACCUUAUUAGUUAAAGGCUUUUGU